rnacentral:rRNA from 1 species
UACGUAGGGGGCAAGCGUUGUCCGGAUUUAUUGGGCGUAAAGAGCGUGUAGGCGGCCAGGUAGGUCUGCUGUGAAAACUCGAGGCUCAACCUCGAGACGUCGGCGGAAACCAUCUGGCUAGAGUCCGGAAGAGGAGAGUGGAAUUCCUGGUGUAGCGGUGAAAUGCGCAGAUAUCGUAAGGAAGACCAGUGGCGAAGGCGGGUCUCUGGACAGUUCCUGACGCUGAGGCACGAAGGUCAGGGGAGCAAACGGG